UCCUGAAUAGAACAAAGAAUGUCUCUCAAAUUGUUGACCCAUUGCCUUUGCUGCGGGCCCUAGGAUCUCCUCUGGGAACUUUCCCCUAUUCUUUGUUUCCCUUUUCUAUCUCUCAUUUGCUCCCGAAUUUGAUUGGUUUCCUUAAUGUCUUGCUCCACCAACAAAGCCCUCUUGACCAACUCAGAAUAGUCCCUUAUAGCCAGUGGGACUAAUCUAUUUCUAAUAGCAGGUCUCAACCCCUG
rnacentral:lncRNA from 1 species